rnacentral:rRNA from 1 species
UACAGAGGGUGCAAGCGUUAAUCGGAAUUACUGGGCGUAAAGCGCGCGUAGGUGGUUUGUUAAGUUGGAUGUGAAAGCCCUGGGCUCAACCUGGGAACUGCAUCCAAAACUGGCAGGCUAGAGUACGGUAGAGGGUGGUGGAAUUUCCUGUGUAGCGGUGAAAUGCGUAGAUAUAGGAAGGAACACCAGUGGCGAAGGCGACCACCUGGACUGAUACUGACACUGAGGUGCGAAAGCGUGGGGAGCAAACAGG